CCUACGGGAGGCAGCAGUGAGGAAUAUUGGUCAAUGGACGAGAGUCUGAACCAGCCAAGUAGCGUGAAGGAUGACUGCCCUAUGGGUUGUAAACUUCUUUUAUAAAGGACUAAAACGAGGCACGUGUGCCUUUUUGCAUGUACUUUAUGAAUAAGGAUCGGCUACCUCCGUGCCAGCGGCACCGGUAAUACGGAGGAUCCACGCGUUAUCCGGUUUUAUUUGGUUUAAAGGGAGCGUAGAUGGUUUGUUAAGUCAGUUGUGAAAGUUUGCGGCGCAACCGUAAAAUUGCAAUUGAUACUGGCAGUCUGGAGUACAGUUGAGGUAGGCGGAAUUCGUGGUGUAGCGGUGAAAUGCUUAGAUAUCACGAAGAACCCCGAUUGCGAAGGCAGCUUACUAAACUGUGACUGACAUUGAUGCUCGAAAGUGUGGGUAUCAAACAGGAUUAGAUACCCGAGUAGUC
rnacentral:rRNA from 1 species